CCCUUAGAUGUUCUGGGCCGCACGCGUGCUACACUGAGUGGAUCAGCGGGUCAGGUUGCGCGAAAGCGUUUCCUAAUCUUUAAAUCCGCUCGUGAUGGGGAUUGACGGUUGCAAUUUUCUGUCAUGAACGAGGAAUACCUUGUAAGCGCGGGUCAUCAUCCCGCGCUGAAUACGUCCCUGCCCUUUGUACACACCGCCCGUCGCUGCCAUCGGUGGACGGCCGAGCCAGGGCUUUGGACUGCGAGCGCCUGCCCUUCGUCUUCGGACGGGGAGUCGUUGCCCGCGGAAAAUCGUCCGAACUCGGUCGCCCCGAGAUAGCAAAAGUCGUAACA
rnacentral:rRNA from 1 species